rnacentral:rRNA from 1 species
AGCCUACGGGGGGCAGCAGUGAGGAAUAUUGGUCAAUGGGCUUACGCCUGAACCAGCCAAGUCGCGUGAGGGAAGACUGCCCUAUGGGUUGUAAACCUCUUUUGUCAGGGAGCAACGCCGGCUACGUGUAGCCGGACUGAGAGUACCUGAAGAAAAAGCAUCGGCUAACUCCGUGCCAGCAGCCGCGGUAAUACGGAGGAUGCGAGCGUUAUCCGGAUUUAUUGGGUUUAAAGGGUGCGUAGGCGGAACAUUAAGUCAGCGGUAAAAUCGAGGGGCUCAACCCCUUUAAGCCGUUGAAACUGGUG